CUCAAGUGAUCCGCCGGCCUUGGCCUCCCAAAAUGCUGGGUCUACAGGCAUGAGCCACUGUGCCCAGCCUAAGAAUGUCACUUUCUAACAGGUCCAAGAACUCCAAGUUUAUCUUGGGACCUUAAGAGAAGAGAAUCACUCACCUCAGAGGCAUUUGAGGAUACAAACCCAUAACUGGGCUUGGCUUUAAAAGGUCUUAUCUGAGACUCCUUGUGAAACAGAGUUCCAUCAAAUCCAAUCCAAAAGGCCUAUGUAGAAAUAAUUAUUCUUCUUGCACUUUAUGCAAAUAAUCGGACCAAGUGUAAGACUACAAUCUAUUUUGCAAACAACUCAGUCCUAUCAUGAUUUAUGUUUUUUAUUGUUGUUGUUGUUUUGUUUUUGUUUUUGUUUUCCAAAAAUGAGAACGGAGAGAGAGAAAUUGUGUUUCAAAACUUAUCAUACAUUUGCCAUUAAAUUCUAAACUCAUUCGUUGUUUUUAAGUUUUUACCUACAUUUUAGAUGAACCUUGCUUGUUCCUGUGAACCAACCAGCAAGCUCCAGCUACAGCUCAGAAAGUACAAAAGGCCAUCAAACUCCAAACAGUCAUGAAACUGGAGAGGCGGACAAUGGCCCCUUCUGCUGGGAACCCUUAAAUAGGCCUCUAAGGGACUUUGACUGCUGUUUUGCCAAAAUAGCGCCCCCUGUCAGCAGGAAGCAGUUGAGAUCGGUCUUCAUCCUUAUCCUUAUUCUAAUGGCAGUUAGAUGCACUUCUUUAGAGGGGGCAAUGAGACAGCCAGGUGGGAAGGGGUCCCCAGAGAAACUCCAGCCUGUACACUGAGAGGAGUGUCCACUGGGGUGGAGCCCCAUAAGUUUGUGCCAUUUGCAGUGGGGAAGAGCCCGGCCCCUCCUCUUCCUGGGUGGAACCUGAAAUUCAAACUGCGAGGUGGGAAGCACACCAGCAGGGAGUCUGGCUUUGCAGAGGGACCAUUUCCCUCUUUCUUUUUCACCCAAUAAACUCUCCCCUCCUCAUGCUUCAAAUUGUCUGUGAGCCUAACUUUUCAUGGCCACAUGAUAAGGACUCCCAUGUCUACCUGAACUAAGGAAAAGUCCUGCAACAGUAGACUUCCCCAUUCCAUCCCUCACAGCUUCCACCACAUCCCCACACCCGUCUCCUAACACGCACACACCCCAAACGAGAACAACAGCCUGGGUUCUAAAUCAAGCUCUCUAAUUUACCAUCUAAGGGUUAUUAAGAAAGUGACUUUGCCUUUCUAUUCCGUCUUUGUCACAUAUUAUAGGGUGAGUAAAGAGGAGAAAACAAUCAACCUUCUAGAACUAAUAUGAAGAUUACAUGUCACAAAAUAAUUGCAAAGUACCAGGUACCAAAUAUAUAAUCAAUAAAUUUAGCUAAAUUUUAGUUUUAGAUACAUACUUUCUGCUAUUCUAUUCUGAUCUAAAUAAAAUUAAUUAUCUUCAGUGUUUGCAUAAUGCAGCUCUUCCUAGGGUAGCUUUCUAAUGGAUCAGAUCACUAUAGUGGACUGUGAGAAAAGGAAAUAUGGUUUGAAAGUGCCUGAAGAGCAGUCGGUGUUUGAGGAAAUGCAUAAAGCCAGAUAUUUCACAUCAGGCAGGCCCAGAUAUUCCUCUAACACAGACAAGUGCCUUCAUGCACAUCACCAGAAGGUACCUUAUUUGGCAGAAAAUUUAUCCAAAUAUGCCCCCUCCAGGAGACCAAUUCUGAAAAGGUAUCUACUGCUCUGGGCUAAAACAAUAACACAGCGCUUGGCAACUGAACCACAAGCUGGAUUUCACCCUACCUACCCCUUCAGCCUGGUUUCUUUCAGCAGAACACAGCCUGUUCAUUCUUGACCAGGGCUUUACCCUGUAAAGAUCACACCCAAAGUAUAAAUCCAAAUAUUGCUUGAGGCCUGUGUGCCCCACCCUGAUUUGCAGACCACAAACUAUUUGCUUUUAAGCAACUCAUGGAUGGAUUAAAAAGACUGCUGGGGAAGAAUUUCCUUUCACAAAAAAGGUAAUGUUUAUUUUUUUUUUCAAAUUAUAGAAGUUGAAGAUGCAACAUAUGCCAUUUUAUAAAAAAAAAAAAAAAAAA